rnacentral:siRNA from 1 species
AGCGGCGAGAGUACAAAUCUUGGG